ACCUGAAAGACAGAGAUGGGAAGACUCUAUCUUCAUACAGUCACAGGCUUUGACCCUCCUGCAACCCCUCUCUAAAUCUGUCCAGAUUCCGGAACAGCAUAAAUACUAAAUAAAGAGAGCUUUGUCCAGAGUUUGCAGGAGGUCCUGGCAGAUUCUCCGGACUUCUUGCCUUCGUCGCCAUUCGCCGGCUGCAUCCUCAGCUCCGCCCACAGGCCUUGUCGUCAGCAGCUUGUGCGCCAUGCGACCCUUGCUCCGCCUCCUCGUCCAAACCCUGCCCACAACUCCUCCGAUGCGCCGCUCGUCAUUAAAUGGCACCAGGAGACCCCCAGGAGAUCCGCAGCAUCACAGAUCAAACAUCAGUUUUGAGACCGAAAACAGAGCUACAGCGCCAUCUAUCGAGAAGUGUCAAAGUGUCAAAAUUGCUAUGGAUCAGUGAAGGUAUUGGAAUGACUGGUAAUUGUAUUUCCAAGAUGUUUCAUAAUGUUUAAUUACUUGUUUUUCUGGCAUUCCAAAAUUGUUCCUCCAUUCCUCUUCCUCUAUAAAAAACUGUUUCAUUCACAUUAAUAUUUUUGGGAUGUCUUGUUGAAGAGCUAUGACCCUGACAUGUAGGGACAAGGAUGCCGCUACACAUUUUGGGCUCAAUGGAAGCAUAUAUUGAGCCCCCAACCCAGACCAAUCCAAUUAUGUUCCAAAUUUUUAGCGAGCAUCCUAUCUCUCUCUCUGCCCCGCGAACCAUGCAACCCUUCAUAGGACAAGAAGGUACAGAAAACGGAGGAAUGUGAGACACUCCCCAAGUGUUCUCAACCUUGCUAAACAUUACACCAUUUCAACAAAUACUUGCAAUAGUUACUGGAUUUUCAUUAAACAGAAGCAAAAUAUCACAGGGGAUGGUUACUUGUCAAUAUAACCAGUGGUGUCUGCAGAA